AACGAGCGCUGGCGGCAGGCUUAACACAUGCAAGUCGAGCGCCCCGCAAGGGGAGCGGCAGACGGGUGAGUAACGCGUGGGAAUCUACCCAUCUCUACGGAAUAACGCAUGGAAACGUGUGCUAAUACCGUAUACGACCUUCGGGAGAAAGAUUUAUCGGAGAUGGAUGAGCCCGCGUUGGAUUAGCUAGUUGGUGGGGUAAAGGCCUACCAAGGCGACGAUCCAUAGCUGGUCUGAGAGGAUGAUCAGCCACACUGGGACUGAGACACGGCCCAGACUCCUACGGGAGGCAGCAGUGGGGAAUAUUGGACAAUGGGCGCAAGCCUGAUCCUGCCAUGCCGCGUGAGUGAUGAAGGCCCUAGGGUUGUAAAGCUCUUUCACCGGUGAAGAUAAUGACGGUAACCGGAGAAGAAGCCCCGGCUAACUUCGUGCCAGCCGCCGCAGUAAAAC
rnacentral:rRNA from 1 species